rnacentral:rRNA from 1 species
AACGAACGCUGGCGGCAUGCCUAACACAUGCCAGUCGAACGAGACCUUCGGGUCUAGUGGCGCACGGGUGCGUAACGCGUGGGAACCUGCCCUUAGGUUCGGAAUAACUCCCCGAAAGGGGUGCUAAUACCGGAUAAUGUCUUCGGACCAAAGAUUUAUCGCCUUUGGAUGGGCCCGCGUUGGAUUAGCUAGUUGGUAGGGUAAAAGCCUACCAAGGCGACGAUCCAUAGCUGGUCUGAGAGGAUGAUCAGCCACACUGGGACUGAGACACGGCCCAGACUCCUACGGGAGGCAGCAGUGGGGAAUAUUGGACAAUGGGCGAAAGCCUGAUCCAGCAAUGCCGCGUGAGUGAUGAAGGCCUUAGGGCUGUAAAGCUCUUUUACCCGGGAUGAUAAUGACAGUACCGGGAGAAUAAGCUCCGGCUAACUCCGU